rnacentral:rRNA from 1 species
CCUACGGGAGGCAGCCGUGGGGCCUCUUGCGCACUGGGCGCCCGCCUGACGCAGCGACGCCGCGUGAGGGAUGAAGGUCUUCGGAUCGUAAACCUCUGUCAGCAGGGAAGAACGGUCACUGUGCUAAUCAGCAGUGAAUUGACGGUACCUGCAAAGGAAGCACCGGCUAACUCCGUGCCAGCAGCCGCGGUAAUACGGAGGGUGCGAGCGUUAAUCGGAAUUACUGGGCGUAAAGCGCUCGUAGGCGGUAUGUCAAGUCAAGGGUGAAAUCCCCGCGCUCAAAGUGGGAACUGCCUUUGAAACUG